GAUGAACGCUAGCGGCAGGCCUAAUACAUGCAAGUCGAGGGGUAACGCGUGUAGCAAUACAUGGCGACGACCGGCGAACGGGUGCGUAACACGUAUGGAACCUGCCCUUUACACGGGGAUAGCCCUCGGAAACGAGGAUUAAUACCCGAUAGGUUAUGCUAAGGCAUCUUGGCAUAAUGAAAGCUGAGGCGGUAAAGGAUGGCCAUGCGUCCGAUUAGUUAGUUGGUGAGGUAAUGGCUCACCAAGACGAUGAUCGGUAGGGGAUGUGAGAGCAUGA
rnacentral:rRNA from 1 species